CCUACGGGAGGCUGCAGUGGGGAAUAUUGCACAAUGGGCGAAAGCCUGAUGCAGCAACGCCGCGUGAAGGAAGAAGGCCUUCGGGUCGUAAACUUCUGUCCUUGGGGAAGAAGAACUGACGGUACCCAAGGAGGAAGCCCCGGCUAACUACGUGCCAGCAGCCGCGGUAAUACGUAGGGGGCAAGCGUUAUCCGGAAUUAUUGGGCGUAAAGAGUACGUAGGUGGCAACCUAAGCGCAGGGUUUAAGGCAAUGGCUCAACCAUUGUUCGCCCUGCGAACUGGGAUGCUUGAGUGCAGGAGAGGAAAGCGGAAUUCCUAGUGUAGCGGUGAAAUGCGUAGAUAUCACGCAGAACUCCGAUUGCGAAGGCAGCGUACCGGCGCCCAACUGACGCUGAAGCACGAAGGCGUGGGUAUCGAACAGGAUUAGAUACCCCGGUAGUC
rnacentral:rRNA from 1 species